UACACUCCUACGGGAGGCAGCAGUGGGGAAUAUUGGACAAUGGGCGCAAGCCUGAUCCAGCCAUGCCGCGUGAGUGAUGAAGGCCCUAGGGUUGUAAAGCUCUUUCACCGGUGAAGAUAAUGACGGUAACCGGAGAAGAAGCCCCGGCUAACUUCGUGCCAGCAGCCGCGGUAAUACGAAGGGGGCUAGCGUUGUUCGGAUUUACUGGGCGUAAAGCGCACGUAGGCGGACUAUUAAGUCAGGGGUGAAAUCCCGGGGCUCAACCCCGGAACUGCCUUUGAUACUGGUAGUCUUGAGUUCGAGAGAGGUGAGUGGAAUUCCGAGUGUAGAGGUGAAAUUCGUAGAUAUUCGGAGGAACACCAGUGGCGAAGGCGGCUCACUGGCUCGAUACUGACGCUGAGGUGCGAAAGCGUGGGGAGCAAACAGGAUUAGAAACCCCAGUAGUCCCAUGA
rnacentral:rRNA from 1 species